GAACGGGGCUGGGGCUAAGGAUUUGGAUAAGAACCAAGACUUGCCAGAUCUUGCAGGCUAAGAAGGAAUAACUAGAGUGGACGGGGAAACAAAGUGGUCCAGUAUCAAGGAGGCCAAGGAGAGAGAUCACUCCAAGAAAGAGGGUGUGGACGACAAUUACCAAAUGGGACUCACAAAGAACUGCCAGUACAGCCCAGAGAGGUCCCAUGGCCC